CCCUUCCUCGUCUCCUGCCGCCGCCACCUCCUCUCCUUCCUCGUCUCCUUCCACGCCCCUCCUCUGGCUUUCGAUCUCCGCCACCGGGCCUCCUCCUCUCUCCCACGGGCCUUGGGUGUGGCUCCGCGCGAGGCGCUACAGAUGAGAGGCGCGGCGGGCAGCCUUCGGGGAGCACCUGCCGUCGAGCAUGCGUAGACGCUUAUCAUCGUCGGCGGGCCACGAGCUUCUCCGGCACCGCCGCCGCGGUCGCGCUACCUCCAUCGUCUAAGCGUAAGUCGGUCAUCUCUUGGCCCUUUGCCUCCCUUCUCUUCCCUUCUUUUCGUGAGGAAUUCUUCCGAAUAAGGCUGCUUCCCUUCUUUGGUUAGGAGUAUUGGAGGGAGGGCAUGGGCGUGAUUCCGGCGAGAUGUGGCUCGGAUAGAUGUCUGCGAUGCGGCAAUCAGAAAUCCUUUGGUUUGUCUUCCUCCUGAUUUGGCUUAAACCAUCCAGUAACAGGCCCACAAGUUCUGAGGCGUGAAGUUAAUGAUGCUGAAUUAGCUAACAAGAGAUGAGUUUGUGCACAUGUAUCUUCAGAAGUUUGAGUCAGUAGUAACUUAGUGUGGUGUAUUGCGACCUCAGACGCGACUCUUGUGGAUGUGGAUAUCACCUGAAGACUUGACUCGUAGAAAUCAUCUAAUAUGCCAACUAUGGCUUGGUGUUUCAUCUAUCUAAUAUGUAAAUUGUCAGCAUGAACUCUGAAAUACUUGGGUUAAUUCGGCAGUUUAAACUUUCUCAAUUGAUUAGAAUCCACCUCCCAUUUGACUUGGUGUGGACGUCAAAUUUCAGUUUGAGCCUUAAUCAGUAUCUGUUGUGGCAGUGGUGUGGUGUUCCCGAUUUCUGGGCCAGUGUAAUGAUUAUUGAAAUUAUAUUCCUGCAGUUACCUUCUCAGGAACUAGGCUUUGUCGCCUGUCAUGCUUCAAAGGCGUCAAGUGACAGUUAACAUAUGACAAUGUUAGUGCAAUAUGUCUAAAAUAAGUUAUAAUAUGAUAUUUACUUAUCUCUUCACCCUGCUAUGUUCCUUUCUUUCUUUCCUUUGUGUAAAGGUUUAUUACAUUAUGUAUUUUUUAAUUGUGUUGCCUCUCUCUCUCCAACAAUGAGCUCUUACCGCCAAAACCAGCUGAGUUCAUCAAUUUGCAUUCUUCGUCUGUAGGCCUUGUACAAAUUAAUGUCUACUUGAAAGGCUUUGUACAAAUCAAUGUCUACUUGAAGUCUCUCUCGCUGGUGCAUCUCUGUUUGGAGCACAAUCGAUUGGAAUGAGGAGCCAUAUAUGACAAUUUCAAGUUGUAUAUGGAGAACAAUCAAUUAGAAACCAUAUAUGAAGCCGUAUACUCCAUCAACUGUAUACCGCAAUGAGAAGCUGCUUAGAUGGGCUUAUACUUAAUUUGUAUGCAGCAUUUCACUUGCCACUGUAGUCGCUCUCUUGUUACUAGCAACCUUGGUCGCAUUGUAUUUCUUUUGUCCAUGUGCAUUUAACCAGUUGUCUUGGUCUACUGUGAAACCAACCUUUUAUUUAGUUUGUGCUUAUGGAUUGUGGAAGACUGUUAUGUUUGAUGUUUUUCUAUUGAAUUUCU
rnacentral:lncRNA from 1 species